rnacentral:lncRNA from 9 species
GGCAGAGGUCAGCAAGUCGGGGAAAGGGAAAAGUAAUGGCAUUUCCCUCAAGUAAACAAAACCACAAAAUGUUUUCAGAAUUGAGCAAAAGUUUUAAGAGAACAUGCUUCCAUAGAUAGGGAAGCUGCUCAACUGGUCUGUUACUGUCGGCGUCUGAAUGUUGCUAAAUCCCUGAGUUUCUCUCCCUUUGAAGAGUGAUGGAAGAAGAAAAAGCAUGGCCUCUGGAUUAGACCAAAUUGACUUUGAACACUGACUUUGCCAUGUACCGGCUGUGUGACCUUGGGAAGCUCUCCCAAACUUUGUGAGCCUCAGGUUCUUCAUCUGCAAAGUGGGUGCAAUCCCGCCCAGCUGGAAGUGUGGAGGUGAGGAGAGAGCAAGUUUCUACAGGGCCACUCAAGUCAGAGGAAUUUCCAUCCUCUUGGAUCUGCACUCACCUACAUGCUAAAGAGAAGUAUCCUGUGAGCAAAAGGAAGAUGGAGAUACUCUGGGGCUUGAGCAGAGACGAGCUCUCAGGAGGUCAAAGAAGUUUCCUAUGUGAGUAAGACUGGCAAUAAAUAACCCCGUUCCCCAGGAAAUGACCAGCAGCUCACCCUACCUUUUGCCAUCUUGCCACCCCUGCCAUUUUUCCUCCAUUCUAGAGCUUCUGGCACAUUCAUAGGGGUCUUUAUAGAAGGGUAAGUAAAAACAUUCAUUCAACACCAAUAUAGUUGUUUCCAUAAAGCCUAGGAAGCUUUAUGCUGAUGUAGUAAGUUAACAAGUCCCAACUUGUUUUUUACCAGUUUCCAGUCUGAGGUGGCCAUAUGAUAUAGCUCUGGGCAUUAUAAAUAAGUGGAAACCUACUGUGAAACUUCUGGGAAAGCUUUUGGUUUCCUGAAAGAGAUACUCCUUGUUCCCUUUGUCACUUCCUACUGGAUUGCAGAUGUGAUGGACGGAGUUGCAGCAGCCACAUGCAGCCAUGAAGGAAAGGAGAAGAGAACUUCAUAGACAUCCCACACAAAGUUGAACUACUAUUCAGUGGCUGCUCGCCUCUAGAUAUCUCU